rnacentral:lncRNA from 1 species
GUAUACACAACAAGAUUCACAGUCUUAAACUAUAUUCUAACUUUGACACUUCGACACAAACAGAUUCAAACCCAUUUCACAAAGUUCUGAGAAUAUAAUGUAAAUCUGAAGAGAGAGAGAACCCUAAAUUGGCUUACCUCAACCAUCUCAACAUUGCCGGCGCUCUCAAAGAGCUGAGCAAGCUGAGCGCUAUCGACGUUGAAGGAAAGGUUACCAACAAAGAGCUUAAGGUCAGGAGAGAAAGAGGUACGCUCGACAGGGGCGGAAUCGUCACCGUCAGCGAACAUGUCAUCUUCCUCAACCUCGAAAUCAGAGGAGACGGCAACAUUCCUGACGAACCUGGAGGAGCAUUUCAAGGAGGAGGAAGCGAAGAGGGAGACGAGAUGGUCGGAGUGGAGUUUGAAGGAGAGGGAA